rnacentral:rRNA from 1 species
GACGAACGCUGGCGGCGUGCUUAACACAUGCGAGUCGAACGGAAAGGCCCUGCUUUUGUGGGGUGCUCGAGUGGCGAACGGGUGAGUAACACGUGAGUAACCUGCCCUUGACUUUGGGAUAACUUCAGGAAACUGGGGCUAAUACCGGAUAGGAGCUCCUGCUGCAUGGUGGGGGUUGGAAAGUUUCGGCGGUUGGGGAUGGACUCGCGGCUUAUCAGCUUGUUGGUGGGGUAGUGGCUUACCAAGGCUUUGACGGGUAGCCGGCCUGAGAGGGUGACCGGCCACAUUGGGACUGAGAUACGGCCCAGACUCCUACGGGAGGCAGCAGUGGGGAAUAUUGCACAAGGGGCGGAAGCCUGAUGCAGCAACGCCGCGUGCGGGAGGACGGCCUUCGGGUUGUAAACCGCUUUCGCCUGUGACGAAGCGUGAGGGACGGUAAUGGGUAAAGAAGCACCGGCUAACUACGU